rnacentral:rRNA from 1 species
AUUGAACGCUGGCGGCACGCCUAACACAUGCAAGUCGAGCGGUAACAUGAGCUGUAGCAAUACAGUUUGAUGACGAGCGGCGGACGGGUGAGGAACACGUAGGAACCUGCCCAAGAGAGGGGGACAACCAAGGGAAACUUUGACUAAUACCGCAUAAUCUCUGAGGAGAAAAGUUCCCCGCAAGGGUGACGCUUUAAGAGGAACCUGCGUCCGAUUAGCUAGUUGGUGAGGUAGAGGCUCACCAAGGCGACGAUCGGUAGCUGGUCUGAGAGGACGAUCAGCCACACUGGGACUGAGACACGGCCCAGACUCCUACGGGAGGCAGCAGUGGGGAAUAUUGGACAAUGGGGGCAACCCUGAUCCAGCAAUGCCGCGUGUGUGAAGAAGGCCUGCGGGUUGUAAAGCACUUUUAGUGGGGAGGAAAGGGUAGUGUUUAAUAGACAUUAUCUGUGACGUUACCCACAGAAAAAGCACCGGCUAACUCUGUGCCAGCCGCCGCAGUAA